GCAGCAUUAAGAUUACUAAGUAACAAAGCAACUACUGCUGCUAUCAUCCCACGGUCUUCUGUGUUUUGCCUUUAAAAGCAAAAAUAUUAAGGAUUAUUAAGACAACUCUUCUUCUGUAACUUACUGGAAGAAUGAGGCCAAUAUUCUGUAUGACUGUGCUACUUCAAUACCAGAAAUCAACUAACACCAUGCAACCAAUGCAUUGGCAGAUACACAGAAGAAUCUGUAACACUACCACGUAAAUGUAUUGAGUAAAUAAAACAUAAAUAUACCUAAUGAAAACUCGUUUGUGUUUUUCUGAGAAAGCUCAUAUUUAUUUCACCUAACUUACUGACCAAUCAACUGAUGUACCAAUUAAUUGUCAGGAUGAAAUUAUAGUCAAACCAGUUUGCUAUAUUUACAAAUACAUACAUAUGAUCCACCUCAGAGUCCAGAGGGCUAUUUCACUGAGGAAUCCCCACCCACUUCAAUCACUUCAGUAAAAUUCCCUAGAUAUCUUGCUCUCUCAUAAAU